UUAGUUCUGAAAUCUUGAAAAUCCAAGAGUAUAGACAUGACUGUCUACUGAUGCUUUACAUCAACAAAAGUACAUACUUAAUAGCUGAUGUUACACAUCAAUGUCAAUCAUUUGUUUCACUUUCUAACAGUUUCACAUACUUAAUACUGGUAACUUAGGAUUACUAGUUGACUGAUAGAAAUUGUUUGACCACUGCCAAUCUGGUUGUUAUUGUUGUUCUUCUAAAUUAUCCGCCAUUUGAUGCUGCUCCUGUUGUACAUGACCCUCUGGGACUUGCUGUUGCCCCAGUUCUGGCACUUGAUGCAUCUCCUCUCCCUCUGAAUAAACGUCACAGUUACCUUCCCCUAUAUAUGCUGCAUAUUCUUCCUCCUAGUCACUACCUUGUUGUUCUAGAAAAUCAUCAGGAAUGUUAGCAUAAAUGUCCAUGACCCCGCAUCAGUGAUAUGUCUGGCCAUCUCCAGGACAAAUUUUUGAUCAUGCAACAUCACCAGAGCACUACUCAUUUGGUCAUGUCUAAUCACCCUAGGGAACUUCCAAUGCAAAUUGGUUUCCUGCAGUUGCUUUUCUGAACAAAGCACAUUCUCUGCAAGUUUUUUCUUAACUCUUCAAGGCUAAUCUUGUGGAGCUAGACUGUUGAAAGGCCUUGUCUUCCAUUCACAUACUGCCACUCUGUUCCAUCAUGUUCAAACCGUCUUCUGAAAUGAAACCUGAUGCACAGAUAGUCCAGUGGAUCCAUGGCUCAAACGUAUGGAAAAAAAUAACUCUGAAUCAAAAUCCCCCCUUUCAGUUCAGUUCAAACAGAACCAGCCAUAAAUCAACGAACCCUAAAUCGUGGCCUCCCAAUACGACUCCACUAACCACAUGGACCGCUGGAUGCAUGAAAACCACAGGAAAUUGACCAUUUGGGUUGAUUUUGAAAUCCCCCAAAACCCCCAAAACCCUACCUAGAACAGAGAAAUCGAGCACAUAGUCUCACACAGAAUUGGAUGCUCUUACGGAUCCGCAUGUGCCGCCUGCUCCCAAUGCUUAGUUCAUGUUGCCGAUCGCUGUCCCUCCUUUGGUCGUCAUUGUCGGGGAGAGAGAACUGAGGGGCCGGGCGGCGGAGAUGAAGAGGCUGGGUGGGUCGAAGCAGUGAAAGGAGGUGGCUGGGUCGAACCGGUUCGGGGCGCAGGGG
rnacentral:lncRNA from 1 species